AAUGGGUAGUUCGAUUGUAUUAUU
rnacentral:piRNA from 1 species